CCAACUCCAGGAGAAACCAAACUCUCACUGCAUGAACCAUGGCUUGUGAACACAACUGAAUAGAUCCAGAAUGAUUCAGCAGAUGAGGUGCAAGUUUUACACAGCCCAGGUGAUGUCACUGCCCCACAUGUGAAGCUCUGGAAGGAGACCCCGGCAAUGCAGUCUGCUAGGAAGCAUCACUUCAUAAAACUGCCUGAAACAACAGAAAAA
rnacentral:lncRNA from 1 species